GUGGGGAAUAUUGGGCAAUGGGCGCAAGCCUGACCCAGCAACGCCGCGUGAAGGAAGAAGGCUUUCGGGUUGUAAACUUCUUUUACCAGGGACGAAACAAAUGACGGUACCUGGUGAAUAAGCCACGGCUAACUACGUGCCAGCAGCCGCGGUAAUACGUAGGUGGCGAGCGUUAUCCGGAUUUAUUGGGUGUAAAGGGCGUGUAGGCGGGACAGCAAGUCAGAUGUGAAAACCAGAGGCUCAACCUCUGGCCUGCAUUUGAAACUGUUGUUCUUGAGUGUCGGAGAGGUAAUCGAAAUUCCGUGUGUAGCGGUGAAAUGCGUAGAUAUACGGAGGAACACCAGUGGCGAAGGCGGAUUACUGGACGAUAACUGACGCUGAGGCGCGAAAGCGUGGGGAGCAAACAGGAUUAGAUACCCUUGUAGUCC
rnacentral:rRNA from 1 species